CGAGGGGUUGGCGCGGGCAAGUGCCUCGCCAACCUGGUCAGAUCCGGAAGGAAGCAGCCACAACGAGCCCCACUUGGGUCGAUGUCCAACCUCUCACCU
rfam:Planktotalea frisia strain SH6-1 PFRI_contig000178, whole genome shotgun sequence.